AACGAACGCUGGCGGCAGGCUUAAGACAUGCAAGUUGAACGAUCUCUUCGGAGAUAGUAGCGCACGGGUGAGUAACACGUGGGAAUGUACCCUUGGGUGUGGGACAACAGUUGGAAACGACUGCUAAUACCGCAUAAUGGCUCCGGCCCAAAGCUCCGGCGCCCAAGGAUCAGCCCGCGUUAGAUUAGGUAGUUGGUGAGGUAAAGGCUCACCAAGCCGACGAUCUAUAGCUGGUUUGAGAGGAUGAUCAGCCACACUGGUACUGAGACACGGACCAGACUCCUACGGGAGGCAGCAGUCAGGAAUAUUGCGCAAUGGAGGAAACUCUGACGCAGCCAUGCCGCGUGAGUGAAGAAGGCCCUAGGGUUGUAAAACUCUUUCAGUGGUGAAGAUGAUGACGGUAACCACAGAAGAAGCUCCGGCCAACUUCG
rnacentral:rRNA from 1 species